GGGAAGGGGUGACUAGUGGCAGAGUGAGGGAAGGAAGGGGUGACUAGUGACAAAGUGAGGGAGGUGGUGACUGUCACUAGUCACCACCUCCCUCACUCUGUCACUAGUCACCACCUCCCUCUGUCACUACUCCCUCCCUCCUUCUGUCACUAGUCACCCCCUCCCUCACUCUGUCACCUGUCACCCCCUCACUCUGUCACCUGUCACCCCCUCACUCUGUCACUAGUCACCCCCUUACUC